rnacentral:tRNA from 1 species
GUGAAUAUAAUUUAACUAAAAUCUUAGGUUGUGGUCCUAAAAAUGAAGGCUAAUUUCCUUCUACUCACC